rnacentral:sRNA from 1 species
UGCAUCUGCAACUCAUGAGGAUGAAAACCUCCGGGGGCAGGGAGGUUCGACUCGAGCGAAGCGAGAGAACGUUGCGCCAGCAACGGCCCGCAGGGCGAGCCACGAAGUGGCGAGUAAUCCUCUAUCACCGACCA